UCCUGUGUGGCUCAGUUGGUAGAGCAUGGUGUUUGCAACGCCAGGGUUGUGGGUUUGAUUCCCACUUGGGAC
rfam:Salmo salar isolate Sally breed double haploid chromosome ssa16, whole genome shotgun sequence.